rnacentral:rRNA from 1 species
AGCAUAUAAGUAAGCGGAGGAUAAGAAACUAAAUAGGAUUCCCUUAGUAAUGGCGAAUGAACAGGGAUCAGCUCAGCAUGGAAAUCGGGGCCCUCGGCCUUGAAUUGUAGUCUCGAGAUGUAUCGCCAACGGAGGCGCAGAUGUAAGCCUCUUGGAAAGGAGCAUCAACGAGGGUGAGAGUCCCGUUUGUCAUCUGCAGUCCCCCGUGCACGGCAUACCUUCUAAGAGUCGCGUUCCUCGGAAUUGGAGCGUAAAUUGGGUGGUAAAUUUCAUCUCAAGCUAAAUAUUGGUUCGAGACCGAUAGCAAACAAGUACCAUGAGGGAAAGAUGAAAAGGACUUUGAAAAGAGAGUUAAAAGUGCCUGAAAUUGCUGAAAGGGAAGCGAAUGGAACCAGUGUUGCUUGGAUGUGAUUGGCGGGUGCAUGACGCGCUCGUUGUAUUUCCUUCCUUGUGUGUCAACGCCAGUUCGCGAUCGAGGAAAACUCCAGGGUCAUGGUAGCUUGUCUCAGGGUGAGUGAAUAGCCUUGGCAGAACUCAUUUGCGGACUGUUUCUUUCGUGUCUGGUUGCAGUGUCUUUGGCACCCUGGCGAUCUUGGCUUGGCUCUUCUGCCACAGGCGAGUGACCCAGGUGACUCGGGCAUUUCCCUGACACAAAGACGAUGACUAAAUGGUUCUAUUCGACCCGUCUUG